CUAAAAUGCGGCACGUGCAGACACCAAGUUCCGGCUGGCUGUUGUCCGAAGAUUGCAAGAUUAUGAGAUCUGAGAACG
ensembl:snoRNA snoRNA:684 snoRNA:684